rnacentral:lncRNA from 1 species
UUAUUUUUGGAAAAUACAGUGAGCGUCGUGGCUCUCAUUUUCCAAAGUCGUGGCUCUUAAAGGUUCUGCUCAAUUUUGUUCCACUAUUGUAGUACUUUCACUUCGAUAAAGAUUUUGACCACUUUUCAAUCAGAACUGAGCAAAGUGGUAAACAAAAAGUUAUAGCCCUGCCUCUUAUCUUUCUAGUGGUCUAAAAAUCAUGUCAUUUGGACUUCUAUAGUGGGAGAUAUUCUUGAGAAAUCGAAACAUAUGCAAACAGAGCACCGGUCCAUAAUGCACCUUUCUUCACCAAUUGAAAUUUUUUUUUAUCCUAAUCUUACAAAAACAUAAAAAUAAAUAUAAAUAACAUAAAAAUAACAUUAUUAACGUAAAAUAACAUUUAAACAUAAAUUAAACUAAACUAAUAAAAUAAAUAAAAACACCUAAAUCCAAUCCUAAAUCUAGUCUAAAUUAGACUAAUUAAGCAUUUAAUCUCUGGUUAAAUAUAUGUAUUGGAUGCACUAAUCAAAUAUAUGUAUUAGGCCAUCUUUGGACCGUUUGAUCCUUUCAAGCUAACCUUGUUAAACUUUGAUCCCUAGUAUACCCCUUUGAGCCUAAUUUUCCCUUUCUUUGUUUAACCACAUGAUAAUAACCUUAACCUUAAAACAAAAUUCCAAUUUUACAACCCUUACUCCUAAGCAUGUAUAUUGUUUUAGGAAAUAUAUAUUAAGCUAAAUGUUGAAAAAGGUAGAAAGGUGGAGUUGCUUAAAAAAAAUUUUAAAAUUGUUAGAAUUCACCCCACUACCUAUAAUAAAAAAAAGAAAUAAGUUUAGGGUGUGGAAUUGUGAUAAAAAAAAAAAGAGAAAAAGAAGAACUGUUGAACAAAAAGAAAAAAAUUACUGAAAAUGGUGUACUUGGUAAAGGAAAAUAAAGCUCUAUAGGUCCUAAAAUAAUUACGUGCUUAGGGUGAUAUUGGGUCAUAUUAUAUCCCUUAUCAUGCUUGGACUCUCGUGUUAUAUUAUGAGCUUAAUAAAGACCUAUUGAUCUUUGAAUAAGUGUUAGUCUACAUUAGUAAAGAGAGAGAUGAAAAGCAAACCUAUGGAAUUCUAAUACUUAGCUAAAUUUUGCAUUGGCAUAAUCUUAUCUAGAUUAUACGAUAUUUGUAAAGACUAUUCCUCGAUCGUUACCGACGUCUGAGACUUGCGGGAGAACCCACCAAAUCCCGAACAAGCCUUCACAAAUAUCAAUUGUCAAACUAUCACACCACAAUGAUCAUUUAUCAACUACCACACAUCCAUUAGGAAAUCUCAUAAUCAUCACAUUUUUAUUAAUAGCAAAUAUUCUCUAUACAUUGUAUUCCAUCAUCAUAUAAGUAUGUCUACAUUGUACACAAGUGUUUGUUUCCAAAACCAAUAUACUAUAAUUGACCUGACCUCUAACAGUGGAGUGACUAAAAAUAGGGUACUAGGAGAUGCCUUUCCCUACAUCGCAGUGAAUCAUGAGUGCCGAUGAAUAGCUCGCUAGCUAAUCACUAUCUGCAAAAGGAAAAUAAAGGGGUAAGUCUCAUAGACUUAGUAAUCAUCGGCUCCGUGAGCAGGGAGUAGAUGGGAAAUAAGCUUGAGGCAGAUCAUUUGAAUGAUAAAACCAGAAUAAAAUUAGUAAUCUUAUAUAAAUCAAAUUGCAAAAAGAGAAUUUGUGCCUUGUAAAAAAAAUAAUACUGUAAAAUCAUCAUGCAAUAUUUCACUUGGCAAAAUGAUGUCGAAAUCACGUGUAGCAAAAUAGAGUUCAAUCAUAGAAAACAUCACUUGCUAUCAAAGUAAGAGAAAUAGUAUAAAAGUAUGCACGCUCCCAGAAUGUGUGGCAUAUAAACAAAUCAACUUAUAAAGCCACAUAAACCAAUUCAUGAUCGUUAAAUAAGCACUGAAAGCUUUUAUUUAAAUAAGGGGAGCUGUAGAGAAAAUCCUAACUCUCCAUCAUGCAAAAGAGUACGCAUUGAAAAAUUCACAAGGCUCUCGAGUAGGAAAGCAUAAUAUCAACAUGUGGACCCACUUCCACGUAAUAACAUCCGGGAGCAUCGCUUCCACCAGAUUCCCACAUGCCAUGGCAGUCUCGACGAUGUUGGCUAACAUCAGAGAAUCAUGUGGCCACAACCACGAAUAUCACUUGUGGCCCAGCCACAUAUAACAACUCGUGGCCUUGCCACAUAUAUCAUAGACCAUGGUCCCAACCAUGUCUAACAGCCCGUCGACAACCCAAAGGUUCUCUAGCUAGAGCUUACUUAUGCAUAAGGGUCACACUUAACCAAAGUGACAUCCAGCCUACUCUCAACGCUCUCGGUUUGUCAAAAUCGUUUUCAAAACCAAAUCAAGUUUCUUGAGACUUUUUCCUUUGAAUUGUUUGAAAUCAAGGUUUGAUAACCCGUCAAAAUGGCAUUUCUCAUUAAUUGGCAUGGUGUAAACACAUGUACAAAGGUCGAAAUAAAAUCGAUGCUCAAAACUUGUAUUUAAAUCAUUUUAACAAAUGCAUUUAGCUAUGAAGAUCACACAUAAAAAUACAAUGUACGAAUUUUGAUGCAAACAUCGUAAAAAGGCUUGUUUCUCGAUUUCUAAAACACUUUACGUAUAUAGAUUAUCUAUAGGCAUAUCUAAACCAACUUUCAAAACAACUUGCAUCCACAAAAUAUCUAGGAUUCUACCAGCUCAUGCUUUCCACAAAUUUGUGUUUAAAAUAAAUCAUCACAUAUAUAUUAUGAAAAUUUGAAAAUUGACACCCCUUACUCACCUUACAAUAGUGGAAUGCUUUGUCGCUAUUGAUUCGGGUGCCUAUCUAGCUAUUUUUACUUGCCUAUUACUCCUUACCUUGUCCGACACGCCACCACAGCUCACUUCCUCUUUUUACACAUUUCCUAGCAAUCAUUCAAACCCAAUUCACUUAUGUACUCAUGCAUGGUAGCAAAUCAACUAAUAAUUUCUUAACUAGGUUUCCAUAGUUAAUUCAUGCUUACACAAUCAUACUUGGUAGCAAUUAUAAAUCUACUUUCAUUAAGCAUUUUUCUAAGUUUGCAUGCACCACAAUUUACAUUCAUAUGCUGCCAACAAUUGCAUAAUUGUUCCUCACAAUAUUACACUAGCUGUAGGCCUCAAAAUGUAGCAUCAAACUUACCAUUGUUCUUUCACCUUAAAUCCACUAAACACCCACGGGUUUGGUGACUUGCAUGUCACCAAAUUUCCUCCAAAUCUAGCCGAUCUUUGUUGCCACAAGACAUUUUUCUUAAUCAUCAACUCAUUUUCAAAGAUUACUCAAGCUAAAAAUCGAUAUCCUUACCUUUCCUUGCUUGAAUCACAAAACCGAGCUUAAUACCUUCAUUGAUACUCCACGGGUUCUCUCUCUUGAAUUUAAAGACUCUUUGAUUGAUGAAACAACACAAAUUUACAAGGUGAAGGAGGAAACCUCACGGUUUCUCUUAAUUUUGUGUAAACCGUGUCUAUCCUUUCUUUCUC